CUGUGUCCAACGUUGAAUGAGCUCUUCAGUGAGUGCAUCACACCUAGGCAGCAAAGCCCUCUAAAGUGCUCUGGGGCCCCCAGGGGAAGGAAAGGUACAUGAUCAAAACACAUUCUUACUAAUGGAUCAGUCCUGUUGGACUCCACUUGUGGUGCUGAGUGGGUGUGAGCAGAAGUCACUGUGAUGGUAAUUGCUUGCUUUGCUAACACUUGGCUUUGAAGAAAAAGCUGGCAAAAGUAGUUGGACCCUAAUACCAGCCCAGCACUAGUGACUGGCUGUGGCCUAUUUCUCUAUGAUUUCUAAGUCACACUUCGUGUAGCUGCUCAAGAUUUAAAGAGAAGUCAAGUCAAUAUAAAAGAGUAACCUAACAGCUUUAUGCAUAAUUGUGUGCUUCCCCAUAGUCAUUGCAAGAUGCUUUUAUUAUGAGAAUUCUUUCGGUGAGAC